rnacentral:pre_miRNA from 1 species
CCUGUCUCCUACAAGAGUAAAGUGCACGCGCUUUGGGACAGUGAGAAAAUAAUGUUCACAAAGCCCAUACACUUUCACUCUUUGGGAGAGUUG